rnacentral:rRNA from 1 species
UACGGAGGGGGCUAGCGUUGUUCGGAAUUACUGGGCGUAAAGCGCACGUAGGCGGCUUUGUAAGUUAGAGGUGAAAGCCCAGGGUUUAACCCUGGAAUUGCCUUUAAGACUGCAUCGCUAGAAUCGUGGAGAGGUGAGUGGAAUUCCGAGUGUAGAGGUGAAAUUCGUAGAUAUCGGAAGGAACGCCGGUGGCGAAAGCGCUCGACUGGACCUCUUCUGACGCUGAGGCGCGAAAGCCAGGGGAGCAAACGGG